rnacentral:lncRNA from 1 species
GGGCAACAUUACCUUGGCCAAAAUCUUUUUACUUAUCUGGGAGAUAGCCUCCUUAUUUGUAAGUUUUUGAGAAGGCUGGGAAGAUUUGGACUAGAUGAUUGGAUAUUAUGUUCCCAGAUCAUGUGCAAGGGAAGCCUCACAGAUGGAAUUUUGCCUCCGGAUUUUCAACUUUCCUCCCCAUUUGCCAUUAAGUCAUUUGCAGAUAUCACCCAGAA